rnacentral:lncRNA from 1 species
GCUGGGGUCUCCAGGUGGGUCUGCAGGUUGCAGAUGACUAUGGUGGGCGGGCGGCGGGGCGGAGUGGCGACCGACGGGUCCGCCGGGUGCGGGGAGCAUGGCGGGACGGCGGGAAAGUAGACCGGGUUCCGGGUGGGGCUGGGGCGCCGGCCCUGUAGGUGUUUGCUGAGCGCUGCCGUGUGCCCGACACAGUGCCAGGCCCACGGGCUGCAAGACACGGCCUUGGCCUCAGGAUAAAACUCUUUUUCUAUUAACAAAGAAGUUUCCAGCCCAUGAGGUGAACCGAGAGUGAUCCCCCAGGCAAGAAAACCAGGGCCUUGUCAAUUAUACCCCCUCUACAACCUGACCUUUUCAAACGCUACCCUUUUUUUUUCAUCCUUUGAAGUCAGGGGUGCCUUAUGAGAAAUUUGGUUCUGUGGCAAUCCAGUAGGACGUCCCCUUUUGUAGCUUGCUUUCUGCCUGGGUGGCCACAGGCACCCGCUGUAUUAUAGAAGUCCGUGCUUCCCAAGGUGAGGGGUGGCAGAUUCCUAAGAAAUCUGAAGCUGUGGGAGUUUUUUUUUUUUUUUUCUUCUGUCCCCAAAUCGGCACUAGAGGUGCUCAUAUAUGGGUUCAGUUAUGUAUUUUUUUUUUAUAGCCUGACUUUUUAAAUCCAGAGUUAGCAAGACUCAUUAAAAAGAAGUCGUAUAUAUUUGAAGCUACACAGGAUUAAAACUAUGCAAACUGUAUGCUUAUGGAAAAUGAAAACAAAAAUAAGAACAAAAACCUCACCUUAUUUUGUAUCACCUUAUUUUAUAACCUGUACGUAGAGGCCUGCCUGACCUCCCAUGAUAUUUCCAGUUGUAUUACACAUUUAUUUGUAGGUAGCUAAGUCUUUUGUCUAUUUCUUUCAAAACACUUCGUACUUCCCACAGUUAUUUUAUUUGCUUUUUAAUUUUUUCCUACUCUUUUCACCAGACUACAAGUUCAGUGAGGAUUGGUACUAUACCUGUUUGGCUCACCUUGUUUUUCAGAGCUUAAUCUGAUACCUGGCACAGAAGAGGUGUUCCUAUAUUUGUUGAAUGUUCACCAGAGUCUGGUAGGAUACAUGGAAAAAAGAAAACAAAAAGAUUUUGAAGUGGGAAAGAGGGUGUUUGUUUAAUUUUUUUUUCAUAAGAUUGUGCAAUAAAUUCAAAGCAGUAGGAAAAAGCUAAAUAUUUAAAAGUUAGCAUAUUAUUAUUGGCAGUAUGUUGUAUGUAGGCACUCUUCUAAUUGCUGGGGAUUCAAAGAUCAGUGGCAGGACUGCCCUCAAAUAUUUGGGAUGCUCACGGAAACCACACCUAUAAAAGCAAAGCCGAAAAAAUAGCACAAGGAAGCAUAUAAUAGCAAAUGAGUGUAAUACGCAUGAUGUUCUUACAGAAAGAGAAGUUUACUUUUGAUGGAAGAAAUCUGCAUCGUAGAGGUGGCCUUCCAACCUGGCAAUGAAUGGAAUAAAACUUGGUGAGCAGAAAAGUGGAAAAUAAAGCAUAAUGCUUAGGAAAAUUAGAAUGCAUAAUUGAAGCUCUCAAGUACCAAACAGAGCAGAUGAGUAAUUUUUUUUUUUCCUUCUGGGUAAGGGGAAAAGUUUUAGAGAAGAAAUUUAUAACCUUGUAUUACAUAGAGGCAAUUUGAAACCCAAAAGGUUUUCACCGGUGUUUAAAAACAUUACUGUAAAAUUUAGAAGGUAAUCUGAUGCCAAACAGUUCUUUCUCUACAUUUCCUUUUAAUGACAGGUUAAGAAUAUGAAAGGGAGAAGAAUAUGAAUGAUAUGAAUUCAUCAUUUUAAGGAUGUAGAACAAUUUAGAUUUCAAGUCUUAAGAGCUAACAGGACUGGGAAUAAAAUUGUACUUUCUGGCUUUGUCACCAAUCUUUCCUUAAUUUUCCCAUUUCUAAGAUAUUCAGAAGAGACCACUUAGGAUAAUAGUGGAUUGUAUGAGAAUGGGUAGGAUAGAUAAAUAUAAAAGAGCUUAAGGUUCUGAAUUUAAUUUAUGAAUUAAAUACUUUCAUUGCUAUUUGUAAUCAUAUGAAGUUUUCAGUUGAUAAUAAUUGUGUAUUGAUUUACGUUGUGCCUUGAAAACAUUUUUUAAGCUAUUGAGGAGUUUCUUUAUAUUAAAUCUGACUCAGAGGCUCCUUAUGAAAACCGAUGAAGUCAGAGAAGCUGUGGUUUGAGAAAAACCUUGAUGUUCCCUCAUUCCCUUCUCAGGGUAGUUUCUAACGCUGCCCCUUCUCUGAACCCGGAGCUCUCUGGUGGCCCUUAAGGAGCCCGCUGAUUUACAGACCAUAAAUUAGAGUCCUUUUGUUUGAUAUCCUGCAAAUUGGGUGGGGGUGGAAUUCUUAUCAUUUAAUACAUGGAUAAACAGGCUCAGAGACCACUCUAACGCAAAGGUCCUCUGAACUUAAACCUAGCAUCUUUUAACAUUACUUAUCAUUUUUAGUUGACAACUAUUUUAAAAAGAUACCUUGCCCCUUGAGAGUGAAAGCAAACUUUCUUAAUUGCUCUCAAUGGAACCUUCACGUAUAAGGUAAAAAAAAAAAAAAAAUGGGUGCCAUGGGCACUAUUUAAUACCCUGAAGCAGCGUUUAUCAGCUGUGUUGGUUGGCUGAAAGGUUAAGUGCAGCUGAGAAGUCAGCACCUGAUUUACUUUCAUGGCCUGUGCUAGUAGAAAAUGGCAUAUAUUUAUUUAGUGGGCCACUAAAGCACAGGACACUAUGCCAGGGAUCAUGUAUUAUCAGUCUUUUCCUUAGAUUUUUAAAAAUAUUUAAAUAUAUAUAUAUUUAGAAUAAGGAUACAAUUCUUUUUAAGAAUUUAAAACUACCAUUUUUAUUGAAAUUCAUUUUUAUUUAAUAUUUCUUGCUUGGGUAUCUGAUUUCUAAGUGCUAUGGCAAACAUAUUAGUCCAUCCAAGAGAGUUGGCUUUUGGACCUUAAAAUAUGUGUCGAAGUAAGGAAAAAUUCUUAUUUAUUGGCUUUUGAAUUUUCAAGUCUAAGAUGAUUUCAGGUCAUUAGACUAAUCAGCUAAUCUUAGAUAAGUUUUCAGUUACAAAAACUGUCCUAUCUUGAAAACAGUGGUUUCCCAAACCUCCCAUUCUGCCAGUGGUGUCAUGGCAAAUUCUAGAAGACUAUGGCAACUCUUGAUAAAUACUCUGAGUUUCUAGGAGUAUAAAUCAUCAUAAUUUCCUUGUUUCCAUUCUGUGGUAGCCGGCCUUGAUGCUUGAGUUGCAUUCCCAGGAUGAGAACUUAUGUAGAAGGAGAAUCAAACCAUCAUGGACAAUAUUGGGUCAUAGUAUCUGUACACAUGUGGGGAGAAACAGGUUGGGGACAGAAAAGUGAUGCAGUCUAAUAAGUCAGUUAACAAGAACAUUUUCCAAAUAACUAUUAAACCUUUGGUAUUUAAUUAUCAGAAAAAAAAAAUUGAGUCACCUAAGGACAAGUGGAACUACAAAGUUUGCAUAAUAGGGAGUUUAUCUCUAUUUCCCUGAUUCCAUUAAAUGACUAAAGUUUUGUGCUUUGCUAUUCUUCCUGCUGACAUUAUUAUCUCCUUGCUGUCCCAAGAAAGGUGACUAAUUCUCUGUUGGUUUUACGAAAGGAAACAGGCGGAACAGCAUGACUCACAAUUAUAAUCUUGCUUUUCUCUUCAUACGAGAAAAUUGGCUUAUGUGUGUGACUUAAUAAAACAUUUAACUGAGAGGGAGCCUUACUAAUUGCAUUCAAUGAAGUGAAAUGCCCCCAAAUAAGACCAUUUAUUGGUUAAAUCACAUUAUCAGCAGAGCUAUAAAUCUGAAUCAUCUCAUCCUAAUGAAAUUUACAGACUUUUUUUAUUCACUUCAGUCUUCAUGUGUACGUUCAGCUUUAUGCAUACGUACAUAUACAGCUGACCAUUGAACGAUGUGGGGGAUUAGGCGCACCAGCACCCCACACAGUUAAAAACCCACGUAUAAUUUUUGACUUUAUUUUUUGAUAAUGGUGGCAAUGAUAACAGUAUGAAAGUCUUCUUGAAAAAUUUAUCACAGUAGACUUAGGGUCCAGCAGUUGGAUUUCCAAAUAAUGAUCAAAAAGAGAUAGAGACUCUUUUUGAGUAGGAUUAUUCCUGAAGUCUUUUUUAAGUGAGACAAAGUUUUUACCUACAAGGAAGGGGUAGAAGAUGAUGUAUCCUCCCUCCGCAAAAGCAAACCAAAUCUUAGUUUUCCAGGGGUUAUCUUUAGUUUUCUUUGACAUUCAUUUUAGCUUUGAGAGAGAGGACUUGGUACUUAAGAAACGAGUCCAAGUUAAAUGUCCCUCCUAAGUAUUUCCUUCUGUUGGAAUGUUCCAUGGUAUUGUCAUCGUGUGGCUUUCCCUUUGAUUUUGAGUUCUUUGAGGGAAAACACUGUAUCUUAUUUACUAUUGUGAUAUCAGUACCCAUAAACAGGUCAGGAAGGAGUAGCUACAUAAAUGUUUACCGGGGGUGCCUGGGUGGCUCAGUUGGUUGAACAUCCAACUUCAGCUCAGGUCAUGAUCUCGCGUUUUUGGGAGUUUGAGCCCCGUGUCUGGCUCUGUGCUGACAGCUCAGAGCCUGGAGCCUGCUUUGGAUUCUGUGUCUCCUUCUCUCUCUGCCCCUCCCCAGCUCUCUUUCUCUCUCUCUCUCAAAAGUGAAUACUUAAAAAAAAAUUAAAAAAAAAAACAACACAAGUGUUUAUUGAAGGCACAAAUACACUUAGUCUUAUGAUGCAUCUACUACUUUUCUUACAAUAUAAAAUUAUUUUGUAUAAUUCUAUUUGAAAUUAUUUUCAGAAAUAAAUUCCUUCAGAAUUUUCUCCAAGGUAGUAAAAAUCUACCCUUUCAGGGUAGAUUUGAUUUUUUGGAGGUAGAAUAACUUGAAACUAGAUUUGAAUGAAUAAAGUAUUCACUCCUGCCAAACAAUAUAUAUUUUUUUAAUUUUUUAUUUUUUUAAAUUUACAUCCAAAUUAGUUAGCAUAUAGUGCUAUAAUUUUUAGUUUUAAAUGAGCCACAACAAAGUAGAUUUAUAUGUUUGUUGGGUAUAUGACAGACUUUGCAGGAGGUUUCAAAGAGGUAUUCCAAAAAUGUCUUGAUCAAUGGUUGCAUCAUUGAAAUUAUGAUAUGGUGUCCCAAAGAAACAAAACUGAAGAAUUGCACAUUUGAUUAUAUAGACUUCCAUGUGACAAUAACCUUCCACUUGGUUACUCCUAUUCUGAUGCCUUCUCUCCUUAAGUUUUCGAGCAAAGCUUCUAGACUUAUUUUCUGGUCUCCCUCUAAAACUUUCAGUGCCUCUUAUUAGCUACAUAUUGAAUUCCAAAUGCCUUAACUUGGCAUUUAAAGCCACUCAUUAUUGAGCUGCAGCCUAAAUGUCCAAAUUUAUGCCUACUUUUCCCCUUCCAUGUAACCCGAAUAUCAACCAAAUGGAGCCAGUCAUUAGUCCCCAUUCAAGAGCUGUUCUUUCUCAUAGUAUGAAGUGUUCAUCCAGUCCAUAUCUUUUUAUAUAAGCCCCCAUUCUCCUCAAAAUGCCACUUUAAAUGCUAGCCAGCUUGAAUUCUCUCUCUCUCCUUAUAUUAUCACAUCUGUAAGUUUUAUGGACUUUAUAAUUUCUACCCUAUUUUGUGGCUUUUAUAUGUUGGUCUUAUAUGCCCUUUUUGACUCUAUGCCAUUUGAGCCAGUCAACAGAUCUCCUUGGGCCUUGACUCCAUGCCUCUUAACACAGUGCCUUGCAUAUAGCAGAGCUUAGGAAAUAUUUAUAGGGGUUUUAAGUACAUAGGAAACACAUAUAAAAACCAGCAGUAUCAAAUGGUUUGUCCAUUUAAGACUAUGGACUCUAUGGCAAUGGCCCUUAUAUUUCUUUAAGGGCGUUCAGAAUUUGGAAAUUUUUAUUCGUAUAAAAACCUAAUGGUUGUGCAUGUGAUUCAGUAAUUCAGCAUUACAGACUAAAUUAUUAUAGAACCAUGAAUAAUUGGGAUACUCAGGAAAUAGGGUGUUCUGAAUAAUUUAAUUUUCUGGUUAACUUGGAGUUAGGCAGAAAAUCUUCUUUGUUUCAUUUCUUGUUGAAAAAUUCUUUCUAAAUAUGCUAAUUUCUGAUCUUAGGCAAAGAGCAUCAUUAAAAUUUUCUUUGAUGAAUGAGGAUAUUAGAAUGCCUCUGGGUAAUUAUUACAUACCUUAAUUCUCAUUUUAUAUUACCACAUAUGAACAAAAAAAGGUUUUGAGUUUGGAUUGUAUCUCUAAGGUUCUUUUCUUUUUCCUAUAUUUAGCCUUGGAUAUUAUUUUUGGAUGAAAACAAAACCUGAUUUAUAUUUUUAUACUCUUCACCAUAGAAAGAGACAGAGUAUGUACUUGUCUUAAUGAGUACAUUCUUCACUUUCCUUUUUAAUUUUUUUAUUUUUUACAUUUAUUUAUUUUUGAGAGACAGAGCAUGAGUGGGGGAGGGGCAGAGAGAGAAGGAGACACAGAACUGAAGCAGGCUUCUGGCUCCGAGCAAGUAGCAAGCAUUCAGCAGAGCCCAACAUGGGGCUUGAACCCACGAACCAUGGGAUCAUGAACUGAGCCGAAGUCGGACACUUAACCGACUGAGCCACCCAGGCACCCCACAUUCUUCACUUUCAAUCGACUAUUUCCACAGUCUUUUGCUAUAUAAUCAUUGGUAAAAUUGUAAUUACAUCAUAUAUGCUAUAUUUAUAACUUCAUUAGUAUAUCAAUAUUUGUCAAACAUAUAUUUAGCAUAUGUGUAUUUAUUGUUUAGCCUUUGAUUUAACUUUUUCCCUUCAUAACAAUUUCUGUUUUUAAAACCUGUCUGAAUUGUAUGUAGUUUUGAAUUUGUAAUUUAACUGCUUUACUCUGACAUUAUUCUUUUGUCUGCUACUUUUUCAGACGUUUUUGCAAAUCACAAUAAUUUUUAGAUAAUAUCAAGACAGUGGGGGAAAAAAAAAGGCAGUAAUCAUGAACACCAAAGAUUUUGUAGUUCUUCCAUGGGGGAAACCUGGAAAUUCUGUAAAACUAAAAUACAAGUAAGUGUAUAUAUAUUUAUUACUUAAAUAAAAAUAAUUGCUAACAUAUCUGUAAUUUAAAGUAUUUUUUUAUAUGAGGCUGUGUAGAGUUGAACUUAAAUUUUUGAGUUCUUUCCUCCAUUUUCUUUACAUCGGUGCAUUUUUAUAAGAGUGUAGGUUUGAAAUAUUUUAAAUCCCUAAUAGUUUAAAAAAUGAGGACUAAAAUUAUUUCUGCCACAAUAUCAAAAUGAAAAGUGAUAAAUGAAGUUUGGGUUUAUUGACUAUUGAAGCAGUCGAACAGAAAGUUACAAAUAGUUUUGUGACACUUAUUCAGAAUUAAAAAGAAUCACCCUAAAGAAACUGAAAGACCCUGAAAUUUACGGAGACUGUUGGGCUGAGAGACCUUUAAAUAGAGAAUAGAGGGUACUAACUAUCCCUGCACUUCACCUAUUAAGGGACAGUAUGUUGAAUUCAUCUUUGUCUUGGAAGGAUACCAUCUGUCUUGGAUUGCCUUGUGAACGCAUUCAGCUAGAACCAGGCAAUUCUGGUAUCUUGAGAAUUUUAUGACAUGGCAGGGGUAUGGGAAGUUUCAAUAUACUGCUUCCCUUUGAGAUCAUCUAGUGUCACUAGAAAUUCCCAAGGCCUUCCUCUCAGAAAUCAGUAAGGGUCAGUCAGUCUGGGUUGGGGACAGACUGUCAAUUAAAAUUUUUUUUAAUGUUUUUAUUUUUGAGAGAGAGAGAGAGAGAGAGAGAGCAAGAUGCGGUGGGGGGAGGGACAGAGAGAGAGGGAGACACAGAAUAUGAAGCAGGUUCCAGGCUCGAAGCUGUCGGCACAGAGCCUGACGCGGGGCUCAAACUCACGGAUGGUGGGAUCAUGACCUGAACUGAAGUCGGACACUCAACCAACUGAGUCACCCAAGUGCCCCCAGACUGUCAAUUUUUAAUCUGUUUUGAGUUCCCUGAAUCAGAUCAACAGUCCUGUGGUUAUUCAGUGUCUUCACACUUUCCUAAUUCUUCCUUCACUUUUGAGAUAAUUGUGUGUAAGAGCAUGUGUAAGCUGGAAAAUGUUAUACAAAUAUAUGGCAAUCUCAGUACAGUUCACCCUUGAACAACAACAAGGAUUGGGGACAUUAACCCCCUAGCACAGUCAAAAAUCCAGAACUUUUGACACCCUCAAAACUUAACAACCAAUAGCCUACUCUUGACUAGAGACCUUAUGGGUAGUAUAAAUAGUCAAUUAAUGCAUAUUUUGUAUGUUAUAUAAUGUAUUCUUACAAAAAAGUAAGCUAAAGAAAAUGUUAUUAAGAAAUUCAUAAAGAAGGGAAAAGACAAUACCGUACUGUAUUUAUCAAAAACAAUUGUGUGUAAGUGGACCCAUGCAGUUCAAACUCCUAUUGUUCAGUAUCAUCUGUAUUAUUUUUACCAUUUUUUGGUGGGAGGGAGAGCAAUCCCAUUGCUACUAUUACCAAUUUUCCUUUUUUUGUGUAAAAAGAAAAGGGGACGUACAUAAUUUGAUUAUAUGAUCAUAUGUUUCAAGUCUGUGUUUAUAUACUUAUAAACCAUUCAUCCAACAAACAUUAAUUGCAUGUAUUCUACACACUGUGAUAGGGAAUGGUGGACAUAAAAGUAAGAAGACACAACCUUUGCUCUCAGGUAGCUUGUGGAGGAUGUGAAUAGAUAGAAUCACAUUUACAGUAUAUUGUGAAGCAUGGUAUGAUGAGAAAGCAUAAACUGCUGGGGCAGGGGUGAGGAGGUCACCAAGCUUUGCCUGAAAGAUGCAGUUAUUUGGGUAGUUACUGGGGAAAACUUGUGCAAAGGCACAGAGGCCACAUACUUUGGGAACUUUCAGACACAUGCAGCAAUUUAUGGGACAGAGAACAGAGUUGGAGAGAAGGGAAGGAUUGUAUAGAUAGUAAAUUAACCUCUAUGCCACACUAAGGAGUUUGGAAUUUAUUUUGGAAGGGAGGGGGAAUCACUGUUUCAUGGCCUUUAGGUCUCUGAUCCACCCAUGAUCAGCAACCUACAAAAGCUAGGACAGGAACACCCACUCUAUGUUAAUAUCUUUGGAGUUCCCUUUCUUACCCUUUCCUUAUUCCAAGCCUCUGCUCAUUUGAUACUAUCUUAAUGAUUAUCUUGACCUUGUCUGACAUUUUGGUGUUCUCCAACAUUUGUCUUCCUCUUUCCCAGCCCUCAGCUCAUUUCAGUAGGUUAUUUCUGGCCCUUGCAUUUGUUGGGUUGACCUGGUUUCUGCAGGAUCAACCUUAGUUUUCCUCAGUGGCCUUACCUGCACCACAUGCCCCCCCCCCCCCCGCUCCACCCCACUCUGUGUCUGAAGCUGUUUCCAGGAGGAACGCAUGUCUUAUUUCAGACCCAUAGCAUCCCAUCAACUUGAACACUUGGUCAGUAAGCUGGCUUUUUCUUUUUUUUUCCAGUCUCAUUCCUUUCCUCUACCACAGUGGGGACUUCAAAAACAUUAAAAGUUUUCUAAGCAAGUGAGUAACACAAUCACAUUUGUACUCUUCAAACUCUUCCUCUGGAAGCCAUGUGAAAAGUGUUGUGGGCCAUUGAGACUUUGGGAGGGGAGACCAGCUCAGGUAUCAAUCCUAAACUAUUUCCCCAUUCCAUUGCAAAGUGAUCUAGGCAUCAUUAUCCUCCUGGUUGCCCGAGUAAGAACCCUAUGAUUGUCUUAGAUUCUUUCCUUUCUCUUUCCUGGUGAGUCCCCUGCUUCUGGUCAGUCUCCAAGUCCAGUUAAUUCUAUUUCCUUAGAGUUGUCAAAUUCUCCCAUUUUUCUCUCCAUUGUCUCUAUCCAGUCAGACCAGCAUCAUCUCUCUAUUAUUAGGCUUCUUGAAAUAGUAUCCCAACUGGCGGCCUUGACUUGCCUUUCAGCCUUACACCCUCUAAUUUUCCAUUCUGUAGUCAGAGUGAUCUUUCUAAAAUCAAUUCUGUUAAAAUUGAAUUUUAAUGAAAUUUGAUGGUUCUCAUCACUUACAGAAUACAAAUCCUCAUCAUGGCCUACAUGGCCCUUCAUGAUCUGGUCACCCUCCACAUCAGCAAUUCCAUUUCUUGCCACUUUCCCCUCCUUCACAGAAUGCCUGGUCACGUGGAACCUCUGGUGCCUUGACCCACAUAUCACCUGUUUCUCCCUGUGCCCACACUUUUCUUUCUUCUUAGAACAUUGCUCUCACCACUUCCCUUUGACUUCCCCAAGGUCCUUUCAUCCCUGAGGCUCAGCUCAGACCUCACUUUCUCCAGGAACUGCUCUUGCCAUCAGCUGGGCAUGUGCCCUGUGUGUUCGGGUACCUCCAGGUACUUCUCCAGUGACAGCACCAUUAUAACCAUAUUUCGUUUACCUUCAUGUGUGUCUGUGUUCCUCUCUGUACUGGAAUCUCCACUGGGUCUCAUAUCCUCUCACCUCCUAUUACAUGUCCUGUCAGCACAGUCCUUGUUUGUACUAAGGGCUGAAGUACUCCUUAUGGAAUGGAUAAAGUGAAAAUAGUGCCUCUCCAUCAGUAUCUUUACCAGCUUCUCUGAACCCACUGGCAGAGUGGUUUGCCUCCUUUAACUUUCCAUGUACCUCUCUGGAUUGUGUCCGCUUUGGUGCUUGCUUUUUGGUGACUGUUUAUAUAAUUUAGUGGCCUUUUCUCAUUUCCAUUAUUCUUAUUUUGAUUGCUUGUCAUUGAAUCCUUGGGGACGCACACUACUUGAUUAUAGUCAAACACUGAUGUAAUAACGAUGAAAGAGAUUUAAACUCAUGAUAGAUAAUAAAAGCUAGAGAACUAGGUUGGCAUAGACCUAUUGAACACAGUGACUAAUACUGACAAGAGACCAGAACUGUCAAAUGAAGAAAAUGGCUUGUGUCAAAUGUUCGAUGAGCUUCAGGUAUUAUUAUCAAAAUCUCUUGCACAAGAAUCUGUAAGAGGGCUCUCCUCUGUCCUCAAAAAGUUCUUUUUUUACUGCUUUCUUUCAGAGGAAACAAUAGGUGAGACUUGGCCCAGUUCACAUUCAAUCCCUUUAAUGUAAUAGCUCCUGUACAGAGGCCCUCAAUGGGUGCUUUCUCCCUAAUAGGCCCUAAACAGGCUCUGCUUUCUCCCUUUCUUUUUCUUUCUUUCUUUCUUUUCUCUCUUUCUCUCUUUCUCUCUUUCUUUCUUUCUUUCUUUCUUUUCUCUUUCUUUCUUUCUCUCUCUCUCUCUCUCUCUCAUUCUCUUUCUUGCUUUCUUUGUAUUAUACAACAUAGAGGUAGAAAUUUAUUGAAGGUUUCUAAGAUGAUCAGGUCAGCAAAAAUGUGUAUUCUGUAGAGAAAAGAUUAGAUACUUUAAACAGUAUUCUUCCAACUACUUGAAUUCUUUAGAGGAAAGACAGUAUGAAAAUUAGAAAAUGUUUUUUCUUUUGCUUUCUAUUUAUAUAGUAUAGAUAUUUGUGCAUAUACAAAGACAGAGUUCAUAUGGAAAGUGAAUUAUGAUUUGAAAUCUCUCGCAGUGUAAUAGGAAAAACAAAAAUCUGACAUUUGAAGAGUUACAUACCUUAAGGAGAAUGUUAAUGGGAGGUAAAUGCUAACUUUAGAAACUGUAUUUCACAGAAUGCAAAGGAAGUAAUUAGGAUACUCCACCACUUAUUUACUAUUCAUAAUUUUAAUUAAGGGCAAAAGAUUAUAUAAAAUUAUUUUGCCUUGUUUUUGUUUGUUUCCCACAAAUGAACAUUCUGUGUUUAACUAAUACUCAGAAAUGCUCAGGAACUGAGGAUGGAGAAGAUACAGUUAGAGUUGGAGAACCAACAAAUGGAAAAGAAACUACAGGAAUUCCAAUCAAUUUGGAGCAGAGAAAAGGAAGAAAGAGGGUAAGUGACAUUUUUAGGGGAUUUGAGAGGAAUAAACUGAGUUGUGUAAGGAAAUGUUUCAUAUAUCCUUGUCAUUUCAACAAAGAUCUGCCUUGAAUGAAUGAUUUCUGGCUUUUCCUGUUGAACAAAUAGUAUUAAAUUUCUCCUACUUUUUCUAUUUGUGUCCUUUAUAGAAGGCAUGCUGCUUUUUAAAAUUACCAUUACUUGUGUUUGUUUUUUUGUUUUUGUUUUUGUUUUGUUGUUUGAAUGUUCUUUGGUCUUACACUUUCUUACUUCUCUUCUUACAUGACUCUUCUGAACCAUUUGUAGCCUGAGAUGUUUAGCACAGCAACACAGCCUUUACUGUCAUAAAAGUGCCAUCCGUAGGAGAUCACCAGUUUAUGUUUAAGGUCAUUUUUAUUUAUGAAAAACUUUUGGGAGGCAGGAGUUUACAUGUUCGUAUAUAAGAAUCAUUCAAACCCUCAAGUAUGUUUAAAAUAUUUUUAGAUGAAUGUGCUUUAGCUGAAAUUUUAUUAAUGAGCACUCUCCAAUAUUGUGCUUUAUAUCUGUGCUCAUCUUACUGAGAAUUGUCCUUUAUUACACAAAUAAUAAAUCUAUAUGACACAAAUCAAACAGAAUUGAUAGUUAUGUAAUGGAAAUGAUAUCUUCUUUGCUCUGGGCUACUCCCAGCCCAUUUGUAGCACUGCUUUUAAUAAUUAAGGUUUUUUGGGGCGCCUGGGUGGCGCAGUCGGUUAAGCGUCCGACUUCAGCCAGGUCACGAUCUCGCGGUCCGUGAGUUCGAGCCCCGCGUCGGGCUCUGGGCUGAUGGCUCAGAGCCUGGAGCCUGUUUCCGAUUCUGUGUCUCCCUCUCUCUCUGCCCCUCCCCCGUUCAUGCUCUGUCUCUCUCUGUCUCAAAAAAUAAAUAAAACGUUAAAAAAAAAAAAAUUUAAAAAAAAUAAUUAAGGUUUUUAUCCCCCCCACAAAUAUCUUAUCUUUGUAUAAGCAUAUAUGUAUAUAUAUGUGUCUGUAUGAAUGUGUGUGUGUGUAUAUCUGACUUGUCAUUUAUGUUUGUACAAGUGAGGUUAUCUAUAAAAUGAUUCAUACUCUAUUUUUUUUUUACUUAAUAUAUCUUAGUGCUGUUGCCACAUCAGUACAAAAGUGAUCUCAUUCUUUUAAUGGCUAUGUAAUAUUUCUUUGCAUAUUUUUGACAUCUUUAUUUAAAUAUUCCCUAUUUUAUAAUUAUAAAUGCUGUCACGAAUAUGCUUCUAUAUAUAUAUUUUGCUUACAUAUGCAAGAGUAUCAAAGGGUUAAAUUCUUACCUGUGUAAUUUUAGGUCAAAGUAUAUAUGCAGUUUAGAUCUUGGUAGAUAUUGGAGAAAUUGUCUUUCAAAUAGGCUUCAAAAAUGUAUAACUUUUUCCUACAGAGAAUGACAGUUCAUGUCUCAUGUGCUUUGGCUGGUACUAAAUAUUGCCAGGCUUUUUGUAUAUUAAAUUUGCUUUGUUUGGUGCUCCAAGGGAUGAUCAUCAAAUAUCUAUGAAAUAUCUUCUGAACCAUUAAAGAAAAUUCAGAAUUUACUAUAUCUCCAGUAGUAUUUAUCUUUAAAGUAUGACUCUUUGGAAAAUACUCAUGACACAUACAUACACUCCCUCUAAUAACCAGAACAUUGAUUUAAUCAAGCAUCUCAAUGUCAUAUGUCAUCCCAGGUGACAAAGUAUAUUGUAUAUUUUGUUGCUGUUAUUAUAAUGAUCUGAUGAGCUUAGUUUGCACUUCUCAAUGGACAAUGAAAUAUCUGUGAAUCAGAGUUCCUGAAAUCAGACUCAAGAGUGUGUUUUCAUUAGCUGGGGAUGUUUUUAAAAAUGUUCUAAAGCUUGAUGGAGUUUUCAUAAGAGUUAAGUGUUUUUCUAAGGCCACAAAGAUAAUAAAUGUUAUAGCCAGAAUGAGAACCUGCCACUCAUUGGUCAGGAAGAUAGAAGUUCAGUAUUCUGACCUUGACUUUAUUAUUUAUUGUCUCUGUGACCUUGGCCAAGUUUUGUCUCAUUAUUUUUUAAGUGAGAAUUGGAUUUCUGCCCUGUUGACUUCAAAAAAUUCUGUGAGACUCAAAAGUGCUUUGAAAGCCAUCAGUAAACAGUUCGCCUUCUUUGCCUUCUCUUUACCUUUCAGUGUGGGAGCUGAUCUGUAGUCUUAAAUACGGGAUUCAUCACUUAGUACAUCUGCUGUUUUCGGUAUUGUUUUGCUUCCUUUUCCUCUUUAUACCUGUGGACCCUUAGCUUUUAAAACUGCAUGGCAAUCUGCAAAAUUUCCUAUAAAUCAGUAAAGGUAUCGUUAGUCAUUGUAAAUGUCUAAAAAAUGAAAUUCUUCAUCUGUGUUUGGACAUUUUACUUUUAUUCAUUUCUUCUCAAAAGUUCCAAAUAUGGUAGAGCUAUAUUUUAGAAUUACCAAGGCUAUCGUGGCAUUAUUGAUAUUUCAUUUUCCUUUUGUGGUGAUCUGUUACAUGUUAAUGACUGAAUUUCAUUUCUUCAAACAGGGAAAAUAUAUUUGUUUUCAUUAAAAGGAGAAAUGUAUUUAGUAAUUACAUUUUGUCCUCUAUUUAUAUAUACUGAAGGUCAAGUGGAUAUCACUGGAAAUCUGGGCAAGUGGGAAAAUUGAGUAAUCAAUCACACAUAAUGUCACAAAGUAAAGGAAAUAUUAUUAAGGUAAGAAAAUACCAUUUGAUUCUCAGGGAAUUUACCAAGUAAAGAGAUAUAAAUUAAUUUUUAGAUCUUGUAUUCCCUUCCAUACUUAAGAACCUACUAAUCUUAUUUUAACAACUUCACAUAUUAUUGGAUUGUGAUUAAUUUUUAUGGGUUAAUAUGUAGCUUUCAUUAUUCAGAUAUAUUUGUUUCUCAUCUACAAGUUGAUUUUAAAAAAUUCAUAUUGAGUAGAAUUUUUCUAAACUGAAUUUUUUUCAUGCAGUUCAGUUUUGGUUUCAAGUAUGUGAAAUACAACUAUGUGGUUUUAUAUUAAAGUGAAAGCUAGGUUAUUUGAUGUAACGAAGGACAGACUUUUUUCCUGCCUUUUUAUUAGAUCACAUUUGUUUCAUGUGUUUAUGUUCUACUUGAAUAAUAAUUAUUAUUCGUAUAUUGUUGAUUCCAUGUGUGGAGAUACCUGAGGAAAGACUGCCUUCAGGUUUCCCAGCUGUAGAAUUCCUUUUUCUUAACUGUGUGUCGUAAAAUAUAACAUUAGAUUAUAUGUAAGGUUAAAAUCAGAUGAGUGACUUUAUGUAGGGAAAGCUGUUUUGUUUCUGGAUUGUUUAGCACAAGAUCCGUGACUUUUUAAGUUUUAGCUUAUAUACUCCUCUUUAUUUUUUAUAUACCUGUCAUCCAACUUUCUUUGGGCCAGUUGGCAUCUACAAACAUCUUACUUGGUGCUUCUAACGUUUUCGGCUUCAAAAAAGCAUUUUGUUCUUUACUGUCAUUCUCUUACUGAGAUAUGUUUCUUUAAUUUUUGGAUUAAAAGUUUUAUAGUCCACUUCCCAUUUUUCAUUAUCUUUCUGAGAUAGCAUUCCAUGUUUCAGAUAUUAUUGAACUAUAACAUAUUAAAAAUGCUGACUUUGUGAUUAUUGACUUAUUUAUUCAAUAACAUUUGUUAAGUGCCUCCUUUGUCAUAUAGUGCAUUAUCCUUGUUCACAAGGAGAUCCUCAUCCAAUGUGAAAGAUAAUGUGCAUAUGAAAAUAUUUAUAGAUUAAGUCAGUAUGUAAUUUUUGUCAUAACUAUUUAGUAUAUGAACCAUCUGUGCUUGGGAAAAAAUACUUUAGUUCUACAAAUAUUUGAGAGUCUCCUAGAUGUCUUUGUAAGGAAAAAAUGAUGAAUAAAUAAUAAUGCCAGUCCCCACAAAACUAAUAAUUGAGUCAAAAGAUGUGGAAACAUGGGGUUUGGAGAGCUGUAGAAGGUGGGUGUAGAAAGUGAGACUGGGCAGGAGGGAAGGUCUUGAAUACCAGAGUUAGGAGUCUUGACGUUUUCACUGUGGGAAUGGAAUUCCUGGACAGUUUUUGAGCAGGAGGAUAGUUAAGAUUAAGGUAAUGACUUAAGGUGGCUGAUCUUGUUUAAAUAUGGAGUGCAUUUGGAGUUUAUAAAUACAGAGUAUAGAACAAAUGAUAUCAAAACUGUUUUGAUCAUGUCCACAUAAAUCAAGAAUGUAUUUUGAGCAUGGACUUUUCUAUACAUUAACUUUUUAUUUGUUUAUGAAUAGAAUUUAUUUAUAUACGUAAUAGUUUACUAAUAUAUCAUGUGCAUUGUGAGACAAAAUAUAGACAUUAGUUAAGGAUGACAUAAACAUAAAUAGAAAUUCUCUUCUACUUUCUGGAUUUUUCUUGAGUUCCCUCAAGCAUGCAUACAUGCUACUUUGGAGGCCACUACUAUAGAGGCCAAUGGACUAUUUAGAAGACUAUUAAAACAAUCUAAAGGUCAAAUGAGAAGAGUCUGUAUUCGAAUGUAGCAAAAGUAAAAUGAAUAAAACUAUGGAACCAAAAAAGCAAUGAGAAAGAAAAGGAGAAAUUCAAAUGUAUAACUGAUAUUCCAGGUUGGAUUGACUAGGAAGAAGAGUAAAGAAGGAGGUUGGAAAACAGUUUGGGAUUUAGAGAUCCCUCCCUCUCUCCCUCCUUCUUUCUUCCCUCCUUUCUUUCCUUCCUCCAUUCUUUCUUUCUUUCCUUCCUUCUUCUCCUUCUAUUCCCAGCUUUAUUGAGGUAUAAUUAAGAUAAUUUAAAAUGUACAACGUGAUGAUUUGAUGUAUGUAUAUAUUGUGGAAAGAUUUCACCCAUAAGGUUAAUUAACACGUCCAUCACCUCACCUGUUUAAAUCUCUUUUGUUGUUGUUGUUGAGGACAUUUAAGUUCUGCCUAGUAAUUUUGAAGAUUUAGGAUUUUGUUUGAAUUCUCAUGUGUUAGUUGAAGCCAAGGGAGUAAAUGUGCUUCUUAAGAACUUAUAAAAAGGAGAAGAAAGGUAUAAAGGAUAAAGCUUAGAAAGGGCAGGUGGGAAGGAUAAAGCUCAAGGAAUAUGGAGGUAAAAGAGAACUUUAAUAUUUAUUCGCUAUUUUAUACCAGUCAACAGUUUAGCUGCUUUUCCUGUUUUAUCUCAUUAAGUGCUUAUAUCACUCUUAAGAGGCAGUUGUUAUUUUUUCAAUUCCACAGAUGAAGUAAUUUAACAUCAAAGAAGUUAACUUGCUCAAGGUCAAGUGUCAGGGCUAAGAUUUGGAAUGCAGGCUUUCAGGCUGGUUCUAAGUUAAUUUGCCAGCUCUCCAGUAAAGGGAGCCUGAGAAGAGGAAGAAUGGUAGCAGUAGAAUCAAAGUAAUGUGAUUUCAUAAAAAAACAAAGGUAAAGGAGGGUGAUCUUAGAAAGUAUGGAGAUGUCAACAUUGUUCUAUACAUUGUGUGGUGAAUAAAGUUUUGACUGUGAUUUUAGACCAGUGUUUCUCAAAAGGGGACAGCUUUGCCCCCCAGGAGAUGUUUGGCAAUGUCUGGAGACAUUUUUUUAUCACCACCAAGAGAGUUUUUCGCUUGUGGUUUUUGGUUAAUGAUAGGUAGUAGCUACAGGCCAGGGGUGCUGCCAUUCACCUUAUAAUACACUGGGCAGCCCCCCAACAAAGAAUUAUUUGUCCUAAAAUGUCAAUGGUAUCAAGGUCAAGAAAUCCUGUGUUAGUCUAUAUAGAUUAAGAUCCUGACUCAUUUCAUUAGCUCUAUGACUUUAGGCAAGUCACUGAACUUUUCUGAGCUCCUGUUACCAUAUUUGUAAACAUAUAUAACAAUACUUGCUAACUACUUCAUAGAGUUUUAAGCAAUGUUGAAGUUAUAUGUCUGAAACCAAUUGUAACAUUGGCUGAAGAUCACACUAAAAAAUGUUUAUGGAGAAUGAAAAUUAAAAAAAAACCUACUGAUUUGAUAUUUGGGUUAUUAGAUGGAAAAAUACAUUUCAAGCAGUUAAAAAAAGAAAGGUGGGUGAUAAUGAGUAAAGACAAAUGUUGCACUGAGAAUGAGAACAGAGCGCGACCUCUCAAGGAUUUAACAGGAUCAAGGAAAGACUUUAUUACAGAUGACCUUUGAACAACACAGAUUUGAACAGUGCAGGUCCAUUUGUAUGCAGAUUUUUUCAAUAAAUGUAGGUAGAGUACUUAAAUGUAUUUUUUCUACGUUAUGACUUUCUUAAUAACAUUUUCUUUUCUCUAGCUUACUUUAUUAUAAGAACACAGUAUAUAAUACAUAUAGCAUACAAAAUAGAUGCUAAUUGACUGUUUAUGUUACCUGUAAAACUUCCAGUUAACAGUAGGCUAUUAGUAGUUAAGUUUGGGGGGGAUCAAAAAAUCGUGCCCCAACCCCCAUAUUGUUCAAGAGUCAACUGUGUAUUGUUUUUCAGAAUCACAGAGAUGUAGCCAGUUUGUAGUUGAGGGAUGGACUCACUAGUGGAGGAAAGAUUGAAGAUGCAAGAGAGAGAGGUGCCAAUUGCUGGAGGUUAGUCUUUGAAGAGACAGCUCAUUAAGGAGACCUUAACCAAUGGAAAGAGAACACAUUUUAUCUGAUAAAAAAGAUGGAAGAGAAAAUAGGUGGCAGUAAAGGUAAAUUUUUAGAGAUUGCAUUUGACAAGAGGUAAGGCAGGAAGCUGUGGAAAGAUUUUAAUGGGAAGAUCUCAACAUUCUUAGUAAAUUUGAAGGCAAGAUCAUCUGCUCACAAUAAGGAAGGGAAAUGGGGUAAAUGUGAGUCUUUUGGAAUAAAGAAAGUUUGACAUAGGCGCUGUGGGAAUCAUGAUUGAGAUUUAACAUGAAAUGAGUAAGUAGACUGCUGAAGAGCCAUAAGAGCGUGGAUUUGUGGGGGAUCCAGUCAGGAUUAUUUCAUCACAAUGGUUGGUAGAUAUGGGAGGUCUAAGAGGAAGAAGGUAAGGUGAUCAUGGUUAGCACUGAGAAACUCUGAGUUUUGGGCUUUUAAAGGUGUGACCCUUCAGAUUGCUGCUUAGGUUUAAGGUUUGGUCAUAAUGGUCAGGUGGCCGAAGAGGGACUCAGAUGGUCAGAGUAGUCAGCAUAUUGGAGGGUUUUGAACAUCAGGAUGUCAGGUGAACGUGAACAUUGAAGUCUUCACGAUCAUCACCCAGAACUGGGAUGGAGAGAAAUACUGAGCAGAUUGCUGAAGUUACGGUGGAGGAGGAUCCUGGAUGUUGAUAAAGACAAUAAACGAAUGGCGAGGAGCUUCAGUAGAGGCAGCUUUGCUGAAUGGUGAGAUCAGAGCAAUAUUCUGGAAGCAGCACUGAAGAGCAAACAGGGAGAAAAAUUUUCUUCUCUCCUGAUGAGUGAGAGGGAGUAGAAAUGGAAUUAAGUUCCUCUGGAGAGUUCUCUGGAAAAAAGUUGUGUCUGAGAAAAGAUGCGUCCGGUUAACGUGAACUUUUGCAAGAGAUGUUUUUAGGAAGGGUUUAAAACAUAAGACAAAUGGCUAUUUAAUAAGGGCUCUAUGCAAUGGCAGGAUGGAAGGACAAGCAAUAGAAAAUGGCAAUGUUUAAGUAGCUAAUUAGAUUACAAAUGAGAAUAUUUGAUAAGGUGGCUCAUGGGAGGAGCAUGGGACCAGCAUGGCAGAUUAGGACCUUGGUUGUGUUUGGAGGCAUUUGUCAAUGCCAAGGAGGCUGAUGGUGACAGCAUAGCCUGAGUCUGAUGGCCCAGGUGAUAUGUCUGUGUGGUACUGCCACUAAACUGCCCUGUACCCUAAUGGUACCCCUUCAGCAUCUACUGGUGGAGGCAUAAGUGGUGAAUACCGCAUAGACUUCAGUAUAUUGGAUUCCUGAUGUUUUGGAUAUACACGUAUGUGCAUAUACAUAUAUACAUACAUGUAUGUAUGCACGUGUAUAUACAUAUGGAUGUGUGUGUGUUAUGUGUGUAUCUCAGGUCCAGCCCUACUCUAUCCUCAACUCUUUCCCAAACAGAUAAAAAUCAGACUUAGGAGGAAAUUCUACUUGCCUCAAAAUAGCAGCUAUCAGUUUGUUCACUGAAAUAUUUUUAUGCAGUUUGAAUCAUUUGGAGUAAAUAUGGCCAUGUUUACAGAGCAGAAAAAUAUUCAUAAUAAUAAAAACAAAUUAUAAAAUUUCCCUAAUAAUGGAUUCAAUUUGCUUUGGCAUCUCCAUUCUGCCCAGGUAGUCUAUAACCAUAUUGAUCAUGUUGCAAUUCAGACGUACCACUAAGGUAAUAAUAUUGGCCAAUUUUGCUAUGAAAAAUGAGAUUAAAUUAUCUGUAACUUGUAUAACAUUUCCAGUUUAGAAGUAAAAGUGUGAUUCACAUAGAAAUUGAUUAUUUCAAUCCUGUUUUCUUUUCUGCUAUGUUUGGUACAUAGCAUCUGAGCAGCCACUUAAAGAAUGUGAACAAAAAAAUGCCCUUUCGAGGCAAAACCACUAGAUUCACUGAGAAUAAUUAUGCCUGAAUUUUCAAAGAUGACUGCAGUUGGUACAGCCAUCGACAUAGAGGCAGCCGUUGUUCUCGUAUUCUCAUGGACAAAGUGGGCAAUUGAGCAUGCAAAUUGCAAAUUGAAAACUAGGCAUGAAUUGCCAGUGUCUGUAUCAGUGUGCAGCAUCCCUCCAUGCUCGUUUGUGUACUUUGAAUGUUGGUUUUCAACAAGACCAAGGCAAGUACGUACACUUGGUGAGUCUGUUUUAUGUCUUAAAAUCUUAAGAUCCAAGGAUUUUAAGUGACUCUUUGAAACACGUAAAGCGAACCUUAUUUACUCAAUAUUUUGGCUACAUCUUAGGAAAGUCAGGGAUCACAGCAAAUAUAUUGAAGGUUAAAUCUGUGAUGCUUAAACAUGUGGUUCUCUGAAUUAGACAAAUAAGAUAAUAUUGGCUUCUGCAGUUAUGUAAGCAGAGCAGCUCAGUGAGAAUUCAGUUUAGAUUUGGUCUACACAAAUAUUAGACUGUGUAUGUUUCAGAAAAGUACCGAAAUAGAAAAGGCUUACUGAACCUUUACAAUAUUUGAAUAUUAGUGCCUUUCUAAAAUAAUAUUGUGAUGAUAUAUAAGGAUUUUUGUUUAAAACAUAAUAUGGCAUGUUUUAAAAAAUGGUUUGUAUAUUUCCAACAUUGGGAGAGAGAGAGCAUGUGCACACAGAUGCGAGGGAGAGGCAGAGAGAGAGGGAAAAAGAGAAUCCCAAGCAGGAUCCAUGCUAUUAGCACAGAGCCUGAUGCAGGCAUUAAUCCCAUGAACUGUGAGAUCAUGACCUGAGCCAAAACCAAGAGUCAACCGAGUGAGCCACCAAGGCACCCCUUGAAUUUUCUGUUAAUUAAAAGUUCUAUAUAUGCUUUAAUAGUGAUAUUCUAUUAAGAUUGUAUUAUUCUUUCAAAAUGUUUGCUUCACUCAAGAUGCACUAGAAUGUUACGGCUUUCUAAUAUUUCUAAUGAUAGUAACUUAAACUUUCUUUGAAUAAGAGAUCGUAUCCCUGACAAAUAAUAUGUAUUUCAUUAAUUUAGCUUUCUGCUGGAAAAGUGAAAUUAAAAUUACUAAAGGAGCAACUUCAAG